AUCAAUCAUCUCCCCCCCCUCCCUCCCAUCAAUCAUCUGAGAUCUCAGAUGAUUGAUGGGAGGGAGGGGGGGGAGAUGAUUGAU